CGCCUUCAUGAAGCUGGAAUUGCUAGUAAUGGCAGGUCAGCAUACUGCCGUGAAUACGUUCCCGGGCCUUGUACACACCGCCCGUCACACCAUGAGAGUUGGAAAUACCCGAAGCCUGUGAGCUAACUUUUAGAGGCAGCAGUCGAAGGUAGAGCCAAUGAUUGGGGUGAAGUCGUAACAAGGUAUC
rnacentral:rRNA from 1 species